GUCUAAAGCCAUAGCACCCUGAACUCAUCCAAUCUUGUCUGAUCCCAGAAGCUAAGCAGGGUCAAGCCUAACCAUCAGUACUUGGGUGCGGGUUGGAGGGUUAUGAGCAUGCCAGGGCUUCUAGCCA
rnacentral:rRNA from 1 species